rnacentral:lncRNA from 1 species
UAUGCAUGAAUAUGUAUGCCGUAUGCGCGUAUGAAUGAAUGAAUGCAAUAUGUCCAGAGAUUCAACAGAUUGACCGAGAUCACCACUAUCGAAGGUAUUGAAGGAGGAUAUUGUUAAAGUAUUUGACACUCACUUCAUUUCCCUCAAUAGCGUAAUCCGGUCGUAGUAUCCAUGUGAAACUUUUUCGUUUACGACUUAGCUACAUUGGCUUUGAAAUCUGAAUCACCUGAUACUGCAUAACAACAAAAGGGACGAUAAAUUCAAACUACUACAGAAAAAUGGAAGACUUAAAGAAAUGAAAAAGAGAUUAAAGACAUACCUGGAAGAAGAAUUAAACAUAAGAAACUAGAUGUUGUCCGCCAAACAUUUUGAUCUGCGAAAUAUGAGAAUAUAUUAUGUGCUUCUAAUUCGUGAACACAUCAAAGACAUAGGUUUUAGUCUUAUUCUAUUGAAUUACCUUUCCACAAAUUGAUUUCAUGCUCCAACUCUUGACUUUUCUCCUUUACUUCAGCUGUCUUGUUUUGAGAUCUACACAUAGUGGGGAUCUUUACACUACAAGUUCCAAAAGUAGCAUCAACUUUGAUUAAUCAAAAGAUACCUGAUCAGUUUUGAGCGUUUUAAGUAGAGCAUAUACUUUUCACAUGACCAAUAUAAAUAACAUAAUUACCGUUCACAAUCGUACCCAAUAUACCAGCUUUAUGCAAUUCAUUUGGAUUUUAUGUACAUCUUCAGUUACACGAACAUCUCUCUUAAGAGCGUAAACCUAUAUACCAAAAAUCAGAAUCGUAAAGAUUGGUAACUAAUUAUCUAAAUAAGAAAACUGAAAGAAUGUUAUAACAAAAAUGGAAAUUUUGCACACGUUCAUUUUCAAGAAUUUUCAGAAAUGAUCUUACCAUCACCACCACCACCAAAGCUUGGACACACAAAAAGGAGAUCAUUAUAAAUUUAACUUGGAUAUAGAAAUUUCACUUGUUAACAUAAAAAAGGAUGUGACAAAGUACACAAAAAAAUAAUUACCAGAUGCAUAUGUGGCUAGAUCCUCUGAGAUGACCCACUAUCAUCACCAAAGUUUGGACAUAUGAACACCAAAUAUGAGAAAGAACAAUAACUUUAGUUUCGAUAUGCAAAUGACGUUGUGACAAAGUCUCGAAGACAUUAUUUAUGAUAUAGAUACAAAAAGGAUAUAUAGGUGACCAGAUUCUUCUAGAUGACUUGUAACUGUCUUGUAGCAUGUCGAAAUUUAUGUCACCUUUCCCUUUACAGUCCUGAAACAGUUUGAGAAAAUACUAUGAUAGUGUCGCUGAUUAAUUUGAAGAUGUACUCAAGUAAUACUUUCGAGCAAAAAGAUGUCCUGAUUUUAUACACUUAGUGUAUACUCUCUGCAAUGAGUGGUAUGUGCAAUUUGCGAAGCAAGUAUACCUGAGAAGCAAAACGACAAUAAUAUAUCAAACUCCAUGUGUGUGUGGGUUACAACAAAAUAAAAUAUCACAACUGAUAAGUAAAACUAAUUUUAUCGAACACCAAUUCAACUUCCACAUAUGCUCUAAAACUCAAAAAUGUUCAUGAAGCCUACUGUGAAAUGAGUUGAUUGCCGGAAUCCAAUGGUUGUGCCCUUAACCUAAAAUGCAUAUUCUUUGAGUAUUUAUUCAACAGAAAUAAACUUAGACACCUUUGUCUGAUUUUUGUUGAUUGCUCUGACUAGAUAUUUAAUUGAGAUGUGUUAAGACGGCAGUACCUUUUCUGAUUUAGUAUAGUCGUAGUGUAAACAAGUUGUCACCAUGGAUAGACGAUCUAUUCAGUCUUGUAAAACUUUCUUUCUUAGGAACAUCUCACCGAUUUAACCUCUGCAUUUUUUUGCUCAACUAAAUUUCACCUAGAAGAUGUUAAACUAAUGAUUAGUUAUGUGAAACAAGACCACUUCAUAACAACGUCUUUCUUUCAUGGUUAAGUGAUGGAGUAUUACCUGAUGUAGUUGUUUUCUUUGUAAGUGAGUCAACAUGUCUUCAAAUUUUCUGCCAUCGAACUAGCUUUGCUUGAGAAUUGUGGAGUGAGCUUGCACGGCAGAGCAUUUCUUUAACACAUGCAAAAAGCUAAGCAAGUAAGCAUACAACUUUCUAGUUCAGAAUAGUCCCAAAACAUCUCAAAAGAGUUAACAAAAGCAAGGUAUAUGUUAGAGAGAAACUAGAAGCAAAUACAUCUGAGGAAUAAUAUUUUCAAAGAGUCUUGAUAUGGGUCAUACAUAAGAAAAGAGGAACUGGUUUGGUGCCAGAGAAUUUAUGAGGCUCUUGGUUCAGAAGUUGGUUGCAAGUAAACGCCAAAAUCUCAAUCCUGAACAAUUAAAACAGAAAAAUAAACGAUUUAGAUGUACACAAGAUCAUUUUGCAUCAAUAUAACCCAUGAUACAUAUCUAUGUAAUAUAUAAGCCUUACAAUCGAUCACCUAAUGAAGAAGUACAGAGAAGAUAAUGAUCAUAAACCUUGAAUCAUAUAUAAUUUGGUGAAACCGCUAUAUAACAUACACUGUAAAACGGAUGGUCCAUGUGGCAAUGACAUUGAUGACGAUGAGGACUUUCCCUUAAUAAUAGAUGUUCAAGAGUCUCCAUCUGUAUAUUAUUUUCAAGUAGUAACCUAAAACUAUCUAAUACAAUGAGAAAUCAAUCUAGAGAGUUAGUUAUGAGUAAGGAAGUAAGAAAAACUUGAAUACGUCACAAAAUAACAAUUAAGCAAGUAAGAAAAAAAGGAAAUACUCAAGGAAGAAAGUAAGCAAAAUAAGUAAGGAAACAAGUAAGAAAAUAUUCAGCAAAUCAAGGAAUCAAGGAAGCAAGUAAUGAAGCACACAACUCAGCAAAGAACAAGUAAUCAAGGAAGAGAACAAGAAAAGAAAGCAAGCACACAAGGAACCAAGGAAUGAAAGCAAGCACACAAGGAACCAAGGAAUGAAAGCAAGCACACAAGGAACCAAGGAAUGAAAGCAUAGCAACUGAGCAAUGAAUUACAAAAAUAAAAAAAACGGAAGCAAGCAAGAAAGAAAGUGAGGAAGCAAGCAAGCAAAUAUAUUACGAAUCUCAAGGAACAAGUAAUAAAGCACACAACUCAGCAAGAAACAAAGAAAUCAAGGAAGAAAAUAAAGCAUACAACCAAGGAAAGGAAAGGAAGGAAGCAAAUACACGCAUGUAACCAAAGAAGAAAGAAAAUAAAUAAACAGAAAGAAAGUAAGGAAGCAAGCAAGCAAAUACAUUACGAAUCUCAAGGAACAAGUAAAAAAGCACACAACUCAGCAAGAAACAGAGAAAUCAAGGAAGAAAAUAAAGCAGACAACCAAGGAAAGGAAAGGAAGGAAGCAAAUACGCGAGAAAUGAACUAAACAGAGAGAUCGAUGAAGCAGAGAAGCAAGCAAUGCACUAAACAGGGAAAUCAAAAAAGCAAAGAACAAGCAAUUCCUUGAGCAAUAUUAUUCAUAGAAAAAAGUAAGGAAUUAAUUAAACAAGUCAAGCAUGUAAAGUGUAAACAAGCAAUCAAGGAAAGAAGAAAGUAACGAAGUAAGUAAAAGAACGAAAGAAUAAACAAGUUAACAAAUAAUCACAGAUGCAAAGAAGCAAUGAACAAAGAAAAAUAUUCAAAGAAGCAAAUCUGCAUGAAUAUGUAUGUGUAUGGAUGAAUAUGUAUGCGUGUAUGCAUGAAUAUGUAUGCGUGUAUGCAUGAAAUUGUAUGCCGUAUGCGCGUAUGAAUGUAUGAAUGCAAUAUGUCCAGAGAUUCAACAGAUUGACCGAGAUCACCACUAUCGAAGGUAUUGAAGGAGGAUAUUGUUAAAGUAUUUGACACUCACUUCAUUUCCGUCAAUAGCGUAAUCCGGUCGUAGUAUCCAUGUGAAACUUUUUCGUUUACGACUUAGCUACAUUGGCUUU